rnacentral:misc_RNA from 1 species
AAGUCGUAACAAGGUAUCUGUAGGUGAACCUGCAGAUGGAUCAUUUAUGAUUUUCAACCUUAUGGAGGUUCGGCUUCGCCGCCGUUCCCCCAGAGUGAGGUGUGGCUCCGCACCUGUCCAAAUAAAUCGGGCUACAAUUUUACACACGGUUGCAUCGGUCGGCUGUCAAAUGGCGCAAGCUUAAGAGGCAGGCGACACACCAAUUUAACACACGAUGAUCUUUAGGAUUUGAAUGGUUUUUGAUAAAACGGCUGGUAAUGCAGUCGUAUAAUCUAAUAAACAACUUUUGGCAACGGAUCUCUUGGUUCUCC